rnacentral:rRNA from 1 species
UUUCUCAAUGGGGGAAACCCUGAAGGAGCGACGCCGCGGGAGGAUGAAGGCUUCGGGUUGUAAACUCCUGUCAUUUGGGAACAAACCUUUCAUUUAACUGAUGAAAGACUGAUAGUACCAGAAGAGGAAGAGACGGCUAACUCUGUGCCAGCAGCCGCGGUAAUACAGAGKUCUCAACCGUUGUUCGGAUUCAUUGGGCGUAAAGGGUGCGUAGGCGGUCGCGCAAGUCGGAUGUGAAAUCUCAGGGCUCAACCCUGAAACUGCAUUCGAUACUGCGUGGCUAGAGUGCUGGAGGGGAGACUGGAAUUUACGGUGUAGCAGUGAAAUGCGUAGAUAUCGUAAGGAAGACCAGUGGCGAAGGCGAGUCUCUGGACAGCAACUGACGCUGAGGCACGAAGGCCAGGGGAGCAAACGGGAUUAGAUACCCCGGUAGUCCUGGCAGUAAACGGUGCACGUUUGGUGUAAGCGGAUUCGACCCCGCUUGUGCCGGAGCUAACGCGUUAAACGUGCCGCCUGGGAAGUACGGUCGCAAGAUUAAAACUCAAAGAAAUUGACGGGGGCCGCACAAGCGGUGGAGUAUGUGGCUUAAUUCGAUGCAACGCGAAGAACCUUACCAGGGUUUGACAUGCACUGUAACCUCGGUGAAAGCCGGGCAGCUGGGUUAAACCAGCGCUUUGCACAGGUGCUGCAUGGCUGUCGUCAGCUCGUGUCGUGAGAUGUUGGGUUAAGUCCCGCAACGAGCGCAACCCCUGUGUCCUGUUGCCACUCCUUAAUUGGAAGCACUCUGGACAGACUGCCCUGUGAAACGGGGAGGAAGGUGGGGAUGACGUCAAGUCAGCAUGGCCCUUACACCCUGGGCUGCACACGUACUACAAUGCUCAGUACAAUACGAGCCGAAACCGCGAGGUGGAGGAAAUCUCGAAAACUGAGCYCAAUUCGGAUCGCAGGCUGCAACUCGCCUGCGUGAAGCUGGAAUCGCU